UUUUGAAAGGGUUGUAGCUCAAACGGUUUAAAGUGUAUUUCACGGAGCUAAAAUGCGUCAUAAGACACAAUAAAAAGCACAGAACCAGCCUUAGCACCAGUCGAAACAGGCAUCAAGAAAGCCGUGCACGUGCAGCAGAUGAGACUUUGUGGAAAAAUGAGUGGAGCAGUGAGACGUGGUUCUCCAGUGGAAGUCAUGGAUCAGCAGGAGCAGCCAUCUUAAAAGCUCCAUUUAAAGGGAUCAGCAUGAAUAAAGCCUUUCAUGAAGCGGAGCAUGGCUGAAUUUCUCCCGUGUGUAACACAUGGAGUUCAAAGCUUCACACACCUGGAAACAGCAGCAGGGUUAUGUCACUGCUGCAGGUUUGUGAUGAAGUGGAGCGAAAACAUCCAGCUUUGGGAAAGAAGUGACAAAGAUUUGACUGCGUCUGCAAAAAGUGCUUCACCUGCAUCCAGAGAAAUCUCUGCCAUACCAGCUGUACCUGGAGGCCAGAGAGGAGGCUCUCGUUGAAGAGUUACCAGGAGUUAACAGGUAUUGACUCUUUAUAUUUCUCCCAUACGUCUAUAAGGAGAACAUGAACCUUUUUAUCCCUCUUGGAGACUCUGAUGCAGACAUGUGGUGUUUAACUGAACCAAACACACACAACAAACGUGACCUUCCAUCUCCACACACAACUAUUCUCCUGACUGGUCAAGACUGGAAAAUGUCCUUCUUCACCAAAAGAGCUCCAAACGUUGUGAAAGCAGACGAUGUUGAGGAAGGGAUCAUCUCUGCCUUCUGCACUGACUUUGUCUUCAAGCUGGCAAACCCGAGACACCUGAAGACACACUGACGUUCCUCCAGAGGUGCAUGGUGGUGACCAACCUCUGCCAAGAACUGUUAACAGGACCAUAAAUCUUCUUUAUUCACUCCAUUAUGCCGCAUACCUAGCAGUGCUUCUAAUGCUCCAGGAGAGAAUCUACCUUAAAUUAAUUCAGCACAAAGGACUUUAUAGAAUUUAUUAUUAUUGUUUUAUGGUAUAAAGUUAGAGGAAGAAAAACUGUAGAACAGAUGAUGAUGUUUGUUGUGAUUUCAUCUUUCAUUCUGUUGCAUGUUUGUGUGUGAAUGACGCCUAACAAAGCUUCUUUAUUUUCAUCACUGGCUGAAAUAAAUUAAACUAAUGACAAUAAAACCACCAAUAGAUGGAGGCCUGAGAAACGUAGG